GGCUCAGGAUGAACGCUAGCGGCAGGCUUAACACAUGCAAGUCGAACGGUAACAGAAGAGCUUGCUCUUGCUGACGAGUGGCGAACGGGUGCGUAACGCGUAUACAACUUGCCUUUUACUAAGGAAUAGCUCAGAGAAAUUUGAAUUAAUACCUUAUAAUAUCUUCGAUUCGCAUGUUUUGAAGAUUAAAGAUUUAUCGGUAAAAGAUGGGUAUGCGUGAUAUUAGCUUGUUGGUGAGGUAACGGCUCACCAAGGCAACGAUAUCUAGGGGGUCUGAGAGGAUGAUCCCCCACACUGGUACUGAGACACGGACCAGACUCCUACGGGAGGCAGCAGUGAGGAAUAUUGGUCAAUGGACGAAAGUCUGAACCAGCCAUGCCGCGUGUAGGAUGAAUGCCCUAUGGGUUGUAAACUACUUUUAUAUAGGAAGAAACCUUUUCAUUUAUGAAAAGCUGACGGUACUAUACGAAUAAGCAUCGGCUAACUCCGUGCCAGCAGCCGCGGUAAUACGGAGGAUGCAAGCGUUAUCCGGAUUUAUUGGGUUUAAAGGGUUCGUAGGCGGGAAAUUAAGUCAGUGGUGAAAGCCUGCAGCUCAACUGCAGAACUGCCAUUGAUACUGAUUUUCUUGAAUAUAUAUGAAGUGGGCGGAAUACGUCAUGUAGCGGUGAAAUGCACAGAUAUGACGUAGAACACCGAUAGCGAAGGCAGCUCACUAAUAUAUUAUUGACGCUCAGGAACGAAAGCAUGGGGAGCGAACAGGAUUAGAUACCCUGGUAGU
rnacentral:rRNA from 1 species